ensembl:snRNA U6 U6 spliceosomal RNA
GUACUCCUUUGGCAGCACAUAUACUAAAAUCGGGAUGAUCCAGAGAAAAUUAGCAUGGCUGCUAGGUAAGGAGGAUGUUCAAAUUCAUGAAGUAUUCCAUAAUUUU